ACCUUUGGCCUGAGGAAAGUCCGGGCUUCACAGGAGCAUGGUAACUGCUAACGGCAGCCGGGGGUGACCCCAGGGAGAGUGCAACAGAAAUAAACCGCCCGGUUUUUACCGGGUAAGGAUGGAAAGGCGAGGUAAGAGCUCACCAGCGCAGUGGAGACAUUGCGGCUCUGUAAACCCUACCAGAAGCAACAUCCGUAUGGGACAUUAUGUGGAAGCUCCGCACCGUCCCGGAGAUGGCGUGAGCCCUGCGGCAACGCAUGGCCAAGAUAGAUCGUCGUUUAAUACAGAACCCGGCUUACGGUCCGGUC
rnacentral:RNase_P_RNA from 1 species